rnacentral:rRNA from 1 species
UAACAUGAGAGUUUGAUCCUGGCUCAGGAUGAACGCUGGCGGCGUGCUUAACACAUGCAAGUCGAACGAAGCACACUUCUUCGGAGGUGUGACUGAGUGGCGGACGGGUGAGUAACGCGUGGGUAACCUGCCCCAUACAGGGGGAUAACAGCCGGAAACGGCUGCUAAUACCGCAUAAGCGCACAGGACCGCAUGGUCUGGUGUGAAAAACUGAGGUGGUAUGGGAUGGACCCGCGUCUGAUUAGCUGGUUGGCGGGGUAACGGCCCACCAAGGCGACGAUCAGUAGCCGGCUUGAGAGAGUG